GGAAGGCUGUAGCUCAGAGGUAGAGCCUCUGCUUGGCAUGCAGAAGGCUCCCGGUUCAAUCCCUGGCAUCUCCU
rnacentral:tRNA from 1 species